rnacentral:rRNA from 1 species
GAGCGGCGGAUGGUAGACUAAUGCCUGACAAAUUGCCCUUGAUGUGUCGGAUAACCAUUGGAAACGAUGGCCAACACCGUCAUAAUCGAUUCGGCUCAAAGAGGGGGACAUAUCGGGCCUCUCGCGUCAGGAUAUGCCCAGGUGGGAUUAGCUAGUUGGUGAGGUAAUGGCUCACCAAGGCGACGAUCCCUAGCUGGUCUGAGAGGAUGAUCAGCCACACUGGAACUGAGACACGGUCCAGACUCCUACGGGAGGCAGCAGUGGGGAAUAUUGCACAAUGGGCGCAAGCCUGAUGCAGCCAUGCCGCGUGUAUGAAGAAGGCCUUCGGGUUGUAAAGUACUUUCAGCAGUGAGGAAGGCGGGUACGUUAAUAGCGUGCUCCAUUGACGUUAGCUGCAGAAGAAGCACCGGCUAACUCCGUGCCAGCAGCCGCGGUAAUACGGAGGGUGCGAGCGUUAAUCGGAAUUACUGGGCGUAAAGCGCAUGCAGGUGGUUUGUUAAGUCAGAUGUGAAAGCCCGGGGCUCAACCUCGGAAUUGCAUUUGAAACUGGCAGACUAGAGUACUGUAGAGGGGGGUAGAAUUUCAGGUGUAGCGGUGAAAUGCGUAGAGAUCUGAAGGAAUACCGGUGGCGAAGGCGGCCCCCUGGACAGAUACUGACACUCAGAUGCGAAAGCGUGGGGAGCAAACAGGAUUAGAUACCCUGGUAGUCCACGCCGUAAACGAUGUCUACUUGGAGGUUGUGGCCUUGAGCCGUGGCUUUCGGAGCUAACGCGUUAAGUAGACCGCCUGGGGAGUACGGUCGCAAGAUUAAAACUCAAAUGAAUUGACGGGGGCCCGCACAAGCGGUGGAGCAUGUGGUUUAAUUCGAUGCAACGCGAAGAACCUUACCUACUCUUGACAUCCUCAGAAGAGUCUGGAGACAGUCUAGUGCCUUCGGGAACUGAGAGACAGGUGCUGCAUGGCUGUCGUCAGCUCGUGUUGUGAAAUGUUGGGUUAAGUCCCGCAACGAGCGCAACCCUUAUCCUUGUUUGCCAGCGAGUAAUGUCGGGAACUCCAGGGAGACUGCCGGUGAUAAACCGGAGGAAGGUGGGGACGACGUCAAGUCAUCAUGGCCCUUACGAGUAGGGCUACACACGUGCUACAAUGGCGCAUACAGAGGGCGGCCAACUUGCGAAAGUGAGCGAAUCCCAAAAAGUGCGUCGUAGUCCGGAUUGGAGUCUGCAACUCGACUCCAUGAAGUCGGAAUCGCUAGUAAUCGUAGAUCAGAAUGCUCCGGUGAAUACGUUCCCGGGCCUUGUACACUCCGCCCGUCACACCAUGGGAGUGGG